rnacentral:rRNA from 1 species
CCCUUAGACGUUCUGGGCCGCACGCGCGCUACACUGACCAGUGCAACAAGCAUCCGUCCUUGGCCGACAGGCCCGGGCAAUCUUUGAACGCUGGUCGUGAUGGGGAUAGACUUUUGCAAUUUUUGGUCUUCAACGAGGAAUUCCUAGUAAACGCAAGUCAUCAACUUGCAUUGAUUACGUCCCUGCCCUUUGUACACACCGCCCGUCGCACCUACCGAUUGAAUGGUCCGGUGAAGCCUCCGGAUUGGCGCGCACCUCGGUUCCGCCGAGAAGUUGGCUAAACCUUACCAUUUAGAGGAAGGUGAAGUCGUAACA